GAAUCCAGUUUCAAGUGGGUCUUGAGAACAGUUUCAAACUGUAGUCCAGCCGUGACUCUUGGCUUCUCUCAACCAAAAGGGGUGGACACCAUUUCUGGACCUGCCCUGGGUCAGAGGAGAGCCUACUGCCCUGAAAGGUGAGUGGGUAAACAAAUUGUGGUGUACCAUGCACGGCAUAUAAUGCAUGGUAUACAAUGCAAUACUACUCAACAACAAAGAAGAAUGCACCGUGGAUACAUUCAACAACAAGGACAAAUCUAAUUAUGCUUUAUGAGUUAAAGAAGCUAAUCUAAAAAGAGUAUAUACUGUGUGAUUUCAUUCAUGUGAAACUAUAAAAUGCAAACAAAUCUAUAUUGACAAAAAUUAAAUCAAUUUCUUUGGGUAUGGGAGGGUCAACUAAGGGAGGGUCUGUGGUGAAGAGUGAGAAAGGGAUUAUGAAAAGGCAUGAGGAAAUUUUGGGCAGUGAGCAUAUGUUUACUAUUUUCAUUAUAAUUUCAUGGGUGUAUACAUAUGUCAAAAUGUAUCAAACUACAUUUAAAUAUAUGCAGUUAAUUUUAUAUCAAACAUAGCUCAAUAAAACAUUAUUUUAAAGAUGUGGUUUCAACAACUUUUGAGUAAGAUGUUAUUCAACUGGAAAUGUUCACCUUGAGGUUGGAAAAGUGGGUCUGGAACUUGGGGGAGAAGCUGGGGGAAAAUAUUUUAGGAGUAAGCUGUCCCUCCCUUUCCCUCUCUCCCUGUCUUGCUCAUUCUCUUUGCUUUUUUCCUUCCUUCAUCUCUCUACCACAGCAAUUUGUUCUGGUGAUACUAUUUACAUAGAGUUGAUAAUGGAAGGCGUGUGAAAGGCUGAUUGCAUUAAAUAGGUAUAAAGAACAGUUAUUGAGGAAAGAAAUGUGGAAAUAUUUGGGGGAUGUUGAAGAGUAAGAGAAAUGAGAAAUAAUCAGAAGGAUGGUCAGCACAUAGGAAAAUAAUUAGUAGAAGGGAAUGUCACGGAAUCCAAAGAAGAAGAAAGUUUUAAAAAUAGUGGGUGAUUAUUAGUGUCACAUGUUAUAGGGUUUCAUUUAGCUUCUUUAAUGAACUUAACUAUAAAAUCCAAUUAUUUAGAGCACUCCAUUCCCCCCCACCAUUGUAGUUAACUGAGAUGUUAUAACAUAUAACCGUACAUAUGUGUUUAAGCCUCUCCACGGAAAUAAUUCCCUCUGCUAAUAGGCUUAUUCAUUUGCAAAGAUAUCAAAGUACAAAGAAAAAUAAUUCA
rnacentral:lncRNA from 10 species